UUUUUAGCAAACUGUGCAAUUGA
rnacentral:piRNA from 1 species